CUUAAGCAUGCAAGUCAAACGGGAUGUAGCAAUACAUCUAGUGGCGAACGGGUGAGUAACGCGUGGAUGAUCUACCUACGAGAUGGGGAUAACUAUUAGAAAUAGUAGCUAAUACCGAAUAAAGUCAAUUAAUUUGUUAAUUGAUGAAAGGAAGCCUUUAAAGCUUCGCUUGUAGAUGAGUCUGCGUCUUAUUAGCUAGUUGGUAGGGUAAAUGCCUACCAAGGCGAUGAUAAGUAACCGGCCUGAGAGGGUGAACGGUCACACUGGAACUGAGAUACGGUCCAGACUCCUACGGGAGGCAGCAGCUAAGAAUCUUCCGCAAUGGGCGAAAGCCUGACGGAGCGACACUGCGUGAAUGAAGAAGGUCGAAAGAUUGUAAAAUUCUUUUAUAAAUGAGGAAUAAGCUUUGUAGGAAAUGACRAAGUGAUGACGUUAAUUUAUGAAUAAGCCCCGGCUAAU
rnacentral:rRNA from 1 species